ensembl:lncRNA
CAAAUCAUAUCAUUCUGCUCCUGGCCCCUCCAAAUCUCAUGUCCUCACAUUUCAAAACCAAUCACGCCUUCCUAACAGUCCCCCAAAGUCUUAACUCUUUUCAGCAUUAACCCAAAGUCCACAGUACAAAGUCUCAUCUGAGACAAGGCAAGUCCCUUCCACCUAUUAGCCUGUAAAAUCAAAAGCAAGCUAGUUACUUCCUAGAUACAACAGGGGUACAGCUAUUCCAAAUGGGAGAAAUUGGCCAAAAUAAAGGGGUUACAGGGCCCAUGCAAGUCCGAAAUCCAGCAGGGCAGUCAAAUUUUAAAGUUGCAAAAUAAUCUCUUUUGACUCCAGGUCUCACAUCCAGGUCAUGCUGAUGCAAGAAGUGGGUUCCCAUGGUCUUGGGCAGCUCUGCCCCUGUGUCUUUGCAGGGUACAGCCUCCCUCCUGACUGCUUUCACGGCUGGUGUUGAGUGCCCGCAGCUUUUCCAGGCACACGGUGCAAGCUGUUGGUGGAUCUAACAUUCUGGGGUCUGGAGGACAGUGUCCCUCGUCUCACAGCUCCACUAGGCAGUGCCCCAGUAGGGACUCUGUGUGGGGGCCCUGACACCACAUUUCCCUUGUGCACUGCCCUAGCAGAGGUUCUCCAUGAGGGCCCCUCCCCUGCAGCAAACUUUUGCUUGGGCAUCCAGGCAUUUCCAUACAUCUUCUGAAAACUAGGCGGAGGUUUCCAAAUCUCAAUUCUCGACUUCUGUGCAUAUGCAGGCUUAACACCACGUGGAAGCUGCCAAGGCUUAGGAGUUGGGUGAGGCCUGCCAGGCAAAGGGGCCCUGGGGGUCCGAGGCAGGCAGGUCAGCUGAGCAGGGCUUCAGGGUGCAGAGGGAGGGGCAAGACACAGGCCCAGGCAGGGAGUGGGGGCAAGAAAAGAGUAGGAGGGAAGAAAGGUGGGGGACUCUCCAGACAGCAGAGGAGUGAGUUGGGAGAGCUGGGAGUGAGGGUUAAAAUGACAGCAAAUGCAGGCCUCAUCUGGUCUAUAAACAAAUAAAAUUGGAGCCACAGGGGGACCCAAACAAUGUCCUGGAGACAGAACAAGUUGCCACACGCCCUGAGUGAGGCUGGACGAGGGUGGGCUUGAGAGCUGCUCCUAUUAGACGCCUCACUGGGCCACAGUGUCAGAGACUCAGAAAUGUGGUCAGUUCCAAACUCAUGGGCUGCCUGGAGUUGGGGAUGCUGGAAACGGGAGAUAAGGACCUCCUCAAACUCGGGCAGUCUCUGACCUUCAGUGAGAACUCGGGAGUCUGCGGGGACUCUGUCCAGGAGGCACACAGGGAGCUUGGCCUAGAAGGCCAGAAAUAGGGGCUCCAAGUCUGGCCCUGCUCCUGCCCGUGAGGGACCUUGGGUAGUUCACAGCCUGUCUAAGCCUCAUUGGUGACAUGUGCACUAUAACUAUUGCUAUUAUCAGAAUUAUUCUCAUCAGUGGAGAGCCUUCUGGGGAGCCCUGCUCAGGCAUCUGGGCUCCUCCUGGCUUCUGUGGGCAGGACCGCCCCUGACACCCCUGCCUACAGCAGGGCUUCUCAGCCUUGGCACUGGUGACAUUUUGAGCUAGAGGCUUCUUUGUUUUGGAGGCUGUCCUUUGCAUUUCAGGAAGCAGAAUCCCCAGCUUCUACCCAUUA